rnacentral:tRNA from 1 species
UUCUGUGGCUUAGGUUAAAGCGCCGGUCUAUCGAAUACGGAGUCGUGGGUUCAAAUCCCAUCAGAA